rnacentral:tRNA from 1 species
GCCCCGGUAGCUCAGUGGGAUCGAGAAGCGGACUUCUGAUCCGCAGGUCGGAAGUUCGAAUCUUCCCCGGGGGU